UACGGAGGGGGCUAGCGUUGUUCGGAAUCAUUGGGCGUAAAGCGAGUGCGGGUGGCUUCUUAAGUCAGGAGUGAAAGCCCAGAGCUUAACUCUGGAAGUGCUUUUGAUACUGGGAAGCUUGAAUGUGGCAGAGGGUGCUAGAAUACCUAAUGUAGUGGUGAAAUACGUAGAUAUUAGGUGGAACACCGGUGGCGAAGGCGGGCACCUGGGCCAACAUUGACACUUAGACUCGAAAGCGUGGGGAUCAAACAGG
rnacentral:rRNA from 1 species